UACGAAGGGGGCUAGCGUUGCUCGGAAUCACUGGGCGUAAAGCGCACGUAGGCGGAUCGUUAAGUCAGGGGUGAAAUCCUGGAGCUCAACUCCAGAACUGCCUUUGAUACUGGCGAUCUCGAGUUCGGGAGAGGUGAGUGGAACUGCGAGUGUAGAGGUGAAAUUCGUAGAUAUUCGCAAGAACACCAGUGGCGAAGGCGGCUCACUGGACCAUAACUGACGCUGAUGCACGAAAGCUAGGGGAGCAAACAGG
rnacentral:rRNA from 1 species